AAUGUAUGACUUCUUACCUCUUGGACUUUUCAAGGGCUUCAAGUCUAUUUGCCAAGCUUAAGGCAUCUGCUUUGACGUGCUGCAGUUCAGAUCAUUGAAGUGUACCAUCAGAUACAUCAUACAAGCUGUGAGGAGACAACAAAUUUAUUCUGCCAACAAGGAACAGUCACAGUUCAUCAAGCAUUUGCAGCCUUUUUUAUGAAACAAUUGCUUUUACAUGAGGUUGGACAGCUUAUGCAGCCUGCUUUGUCGGCUCCAUCAGAUUCCCACCAUGGAGGCGAAUCUGGAAGAGUUGGGCUCCAUUGGGUUGCAAAUUCUUCCUUGGCUAGCCAUCAAACAACCUAUUUGGACUGCUGAUCGCCUCGCCAAGCGGGCCUUGCACCUCACCAAGCUGCUUGCCCGCUUUGUGACAAGGAACAGGAGUGGAAGAUGUGCAUGUGUUGGCAGUUUUCUGCUACAGGUCAGUAUACUACUAAAUCAGCUACGAAGCUCUAUCCAUUGGAGCUACUGGUUUUGGCCCUUGGAAGCAGAUCUAGAAGAGCUGGGCACCAGGCACGUGCAAAUUCUUUUUAUGGACGGCUGCUCUAAACAGAAUUUAGACAGCAGAUCGCCUGGUCAGAAAAAGGUCUCUCCCAUCCGGCAGCCUGCUCUCUUUGUGAUCAAGUUGAGGAAACUGCUGACCACCUGCUGGUGGCGUGUGUUUUCUCCCGUCAGGUCUGGUUCGCUGUGUUGCAAAUGUUCAACCUGCAAACCCUGGCUCCACAAAACGAUCUUUCCUUCUUUGAGUGGUGGAUGGCUGCUAGUACCGGAGUGGAUGGCCUGGUUAAGAAAGGUUUGGACUCCAUCUUUAUCUUGGGAGCAUGGACCAUCUGGAAGCACCGCAACCGCUGCGUCUUCGAUGGGAUUUCACCCGAUGUUUCUUGUGUUGUUUCGGUCAUCAAGGAAGAGCUGCACCAGUGGUCCUUUGCUGGGGCUCGAGGAGUGUCACAUCUCCUCGCCAUAGGAUCUCAGCUCUUCUGCACUUUCGAGGGACAAAAAGAUAAGGAACAGGAAACAGCCUAGCGUCUCCUUCUCACCUGUGUGUUCACCAGGCAAUGCUGGUCGCUGAUCUCUCAAAGCCUAAACCUAGUC